CCUACGGGUGGCAGCAGUGGGGAAUAUUGCGCAAUGGGCGGAAGCCUGACGCAGCGACGCCGCGUGGGGGAUGACGGCCUUCGGGUUGUAAACCUCUUUCAGCUCCGACGAAGCGAGAGUGACGGUAGGAGCAGAAGAAGCACCGGCCAACUACGUGCCAGCAGCCGCGGUAAUACGUAGGGUGCAAGCGUUGUCCGGAAUUAUUGGGCGUAAAGAGCUCGUAGGCGGUUUGUCGCGUCGGCUGUGAAAACCUGGAGCUCAACUCCAGGCCUGCAGUCGAUACGGGCAGACUCGAGUGUUGCAGGGGAGACUGGAAUUCCUGGUGUAGCGGUGAAAUGCGCAGAUAUCAGGAGGAACACCGGUGGCGAAGGCGGGUCUCUGGGCAACAACUGACGCUGAGGAGCGAAAGCGUGGGGAGCGAACAGGAUUAGAUACCCCUG
rnacentral:rRNA from 1 species